rnacentral:rRNA from 1 species
UGGGGGAUAUUGCACAAUGGGCGAAAGCCUGAUGCAGCGACGCCGCGUGGGGGAUGAAGGCUUUCGGGUUGUAAACCUCUUUCGCUAUCGAACAAGGCCCGCUUAGGGUGGGUUGAGGGUAGGUGGAGAAGAAGCGCCGGCUAACUACGUGCCAGCAGCCGCGGUAAUACGUAGGGCGCGAGCGUUGUCCGGAAUUAUUGGGCGUAAAGGGCUUGUAGGCGGCUUGUUGCGCCUGCUGUGAAAACGCGGGGCUUAACUCCGCGCGUGCAGUGGGUGCGGGCAGGCUUGAGUGUGGUAGGGGUGACUGGAAUUCCAGGUGUAGCGGUGGAAUGCGCAGAUAUCUGGAGGAACACCGAUGGCGAAGGCAGGUCACUGGGCCAUUACUGACGCUGAGGAGCGAAAGCAUGGGUAGCGAACAGG